CCAUAUGCGCGCGCACCCGGAACCUUGAUUAUAACACCCUAUAAUUCAUUGUAACACCAAGGUUUAAAAACCGGUUAACCAUUUAGGGGUAUUUUCGUAAUAAUAUAGUUUUAUAAAUGGCUAGGGUUUCUUUAAACUUAUAAAAGAGAGGCUUUAUAAAAAGAAAAUAAUAAAUAACCCAAGAGGCUUUUAAAAAAUAAUAACGUAAUGGGCUGGGCUAGGCCUUCUUUAAUACAUCUACAACAUAAAAAAUACUCUAUAAUAAUAAUUUAUUUAACUAUACUUUUUUAGUCCCACAUCGAUAGAAUUCAAAAAACACAAAGAAGGUUGGUCUAUAAAUAAAUAUUCAUUUUGUCUAAAACAAAUAUGAAGUCUAAAGAGUGGGAGGAGCUUAUAUUAAAAAUAAUAUAGCUCUUUUCAUGGACCAAUGUAUAAAUUUUUAUGGCUAAAAAUUUAUAAGGUCUUAAAAUAAAAAAAAAUUUGGCCUUUUUUUAAAAUAAAAACAAAACACUGUUUUAAGUUAUUUAAAUAACUUAAAACAGGCUUGUAUCCGGAUCGGAUCCUACCCGGGCACAUCUCCCUCUAGGGUCGCAUCAUCGCAUAUGCACGCAUAUGCGCGCGCACCCGGAACUUUGGUCCAUAUAUGCCACGACAAACAUCCAAUGACAUUCCAUAAUAACCCCCAAGGGAGAGAGUGGUGUGUGAAUUUUUGUGCAGCCUUCAUAAGAUCCCCCAAUCUAAUAUCUGAAUUAGAUUCAGUGAAAACUGGAAUAUUCAUUAUUCUCCAUAAGGUGAAAUUCAUGUGCUCAGUCAACGAAAUUAGAAGAGACAUGGAAUAAGAACAAUUGAAGAAGAGAUGACUUUUAAAUUCUUCUUCCAGAUUGCACAGUAGGUAGGGUGUCAAACGAGCUGAGCCGAGCUUUUGCUUAUAGAGCCAGACUCGGCUCGUUAAGAUAUCAUCUGGGCUCAAGAAUUAAAACAAAUUUUUAUUUGAAGACAUGGAGGAUCGAACCCUAGACCUCUCACAUGUUUGACAAACGUUUUACCAUCUGUGCUACACCUUCAAUCUCUCUAAAUUUAAUAUUUUUUUAGUUUUUCAUACUUCCUGAGCUCGAAUUAAAAGAAAUAAUUAUUUGGAGACAUGGGGGAUCGAACCCAUGACCUCUCAAAAAACUAAACAAAUCUUUUACCAACUAUGCUACACCUCUAUUCUUUAUAAAUUUAAUAUUUUUUUAAUUUUUCAUACUUACAAACGAGCCCUCACGAGCUUAACGAGCCGAGCCGAGCUUGGACAUGUCGAGCUCGAGCUCGGCUCGUUAAGCUAAACAAGCUUGAGCCUCGGGAUCGGGCUCGGCUCGUUGGGCUCGCGAGCCCGAGCCUAAACAGUAGGCACUAGGCAAGCAGGAGUUACUUGAAUUCUCCAACUUCUCAAUUUCUUGAACGUGUUUAGGUAGGGGUGGCAAUAACAUACACGAUUCAUAAAAAAAACACGAC
rnacentral:lncRNA from 1 species